CUGUACCUGCUGCGCCUACCGACCGCUCUCUCGUUUCUCCACAUGCGCACAGCGGCACUACUCUCAUUCUCACUGCAGACUUUCCGUUCAGUUGCAGCCAACUGUUCACCACUGUCGCACAGGCGCCGCCAAACAAAGAUUUUUUAGGAUCAAAAUAGGCUGUCAAGCCGCUAAACGCCCAACAAUUCGCUACAUUGUAGCAAGCAGGCAGCGAGAUAAGAAGAUACAUCGAUUUAUCGUUACAGUGUAACGUUAUUUUAUCACUCGCUUCAGAACCAGUCUCGAUACAACGCCGGAACAACAAAUCUCAAACAUGAAGAAAUGUUCGGCGUGGUCGCUCUUUCUAGUGGUUUCGCUGCUAACUGUGAAAGCUCUAUCCCAGAAUUCAGAUGGCUUUGACCUGUCUGAUGCCUUGACUGACAAUGUCUCUAUAGCACCAGCAGCCACCCCCAAACCAGUAGAAGGAGCAGAUGAGAAGAUCACCCCACCAAGGCUCCUCCUAAAGCCCCGCCACUAAGGCCCCGUCACACAAGCCCAAGCCACAUGCGAUCCAGGCUGAUUUUGACUUUGGGCCCAGCCUUCUCCCUGGUCUGCUCCCCCUCGCCACCAAGGGUCCCCGUACCCCACCGAAGCCCCAGYCCGCCUCUGAUGAGUUUGACCUGAGUGAUGCUCUGGAUCCCAACAAUGACAUUGGAGGGAAGGACAAGAACAAGGGACAAGCAGGUGGAUCUUUCUCAGACGAUGAUCUGCUUGACGUUGGGAAAGACAACACCUACAACCCUGACAAAGGCAAAGGUGGACAUGGUGGAGGCCAGUCUGCCGCUGAUGAUGACAACCUUGACACCAUGGCUGAGACCGGAACCAUCGCUGGGAUCAUCAGUGCCAUUGGCUUGGCGCUGGUUGGCGCGGUCACCAGCUACGUCUCCUACCAGAAGAAGAAGUUCUGCUUCAGCAUACAGCAGAGCCUGAAUGCAGACCUGGUGAAGACUGAUAACCCAGACGCUGUGGUGGCCACAGAACCACAAGUUCAACAGACUCUUCUGGAACCCCCCAACGCUGAGCCUCCUAAGUCAGGAUAACACUGUCUAAUACCCCACCCCCCACCCCCCGUCCCCCAACCUACACACACACGAAGAGGGCGUGACAACACACUUACACGCCCUCACCUUGGGGAAUAUCCCCCCCCACCUCAUACGCCAACACACACUCACCACUUUUGAAGGAUAGUGGCACCCCCGUUAUACCUUAAGAGUUGUAGAUAGAUGGUGAUCGGCAAACUCUGUCUGAAAUGUAGAGUUCCACUGGCAGCAAUGUUGACGCCACCAAGUUCCAUGUCAUUCUAGAAUCUUAAUGUCAUUCUAGAGUGGGAAUGGUAUUGUGACAUCACUAUGGUUCGCCGACCUCUGUAGACCUACCYCCACCACACUGUGUGUACAUAUCAUUUCAUUUAUUUGAACUGUUUUAAACACCACUAAUAUGGCUGUUUACAAUUUGAUUAUGAAGGAGAUGGAAGCCUAAUCCUAGAUCAGUUUUUAUUUGACAAUGAUAGUCAGAGGAUGUGCUAUACUUAAGCACAUACAGAUCUAGGACCAGGCUUCCAUCUUGGUAUUUCCUGAAAGAUAGCAUGGUACAUAGUAUAACCCACAUACUUUCCCCCUAACUCUGUUAUCCAAAUAAUUAA